rnacentral:misc_RNA from 1 species
GAUGAAGAACGUAGCGAAAUGCGAUAAGUAAUGUGAAUUGCAGAAUCCAGUGAAUCAUCGAAUCUUUGAACGCACCUUGCGCCCCUUGGUAUUCCGAGGGGCACACCUGUUGGAGUGUCAUUAUAACCCCUCAAGCUCAGCUUGGUGUUGGGGCCUGCUGCACUGGCAGCCCUUAAAAUCAGUGGCGGCGCCAUCUGGCUCUAAGCGUAGUAAUUCUUCUCGCUAUGGAGUCCUGGUGGAUGCUUGCCAUCAACCCCCAAUUUUUCUAUGGUUGACCUCGGAUCAGGUAGGGAUACCCGCUGAACUUAAGCAUAUCAAUAAGCGGAGGA